rnacentral:rRNA from 1 species
CUGACGAGUUUGAUCAUGGCUCAGAACGAACGCUGGCGGCAGGCCUAACACAUGCAAGUCGAGCGCCCCGCAAGGGGAGCGGCGGACGGGUAAGUAACGCGUGGGAACGUACCCUUUGCUACGGAAUAGCCUCGGGAAACUGGGAGUAAUACCGUAUGUGCCCUUCGGGGGAAAGGAUUUAUCGGCAAAGGAUCGGCCCGCGUUGGAUUAGGUAGUUGGUGGGGUAAUGGCCUACCAAGCCGACGAUCCAUAGCUGGUUUGAGAGGAUGAUCAGCCACACUGGGACUGAGACACGGCCCAGACUCCUACGGGAGGCAGCAGUGGGGAAUCUUAGACAAUGGGGGCGAACCCUGAUCUAGCCAUGCCGCGUGAGUGAUGAAGGCCCUAGGGUUGUAAAGCUCUUUCAGCUGGGAAGAUAAUGACGGUACCAGCAGAAGAAGCCCCGGCUAACUCCGUG